UCAACAGGAGGAGAAAAAACGCAGCUGGUAAGAUGCUUCUGCUCUGAGCACAAAACCUGCUGUUGAGCCAAUGAGGUGUGAGUAACAGGAAGGAAAAAAAUCAGGGUCUCUGGUUUGUGCAGUUAUUUAUUGUGAAGCUUGGAGUCUCUAGUGCAGCUAUUAAUGAACAUAUUACACCUCUAACUGGAUAUUUGCAGGCAGCUCUAAUUAACUUGGGUAAUUACAUUUUGCCUCCCUGCGUUUUCCAGCUUUUUCAAUCAGAAAUAAUAAAAACCAGACUCAUGUGUCCUCGAGCAAAAUGAAGCUUUAAACAUUUAAGUUCAAAGAGUGCAUUUAGAAAGAGCCUUUUAAUUUCCCCCACAUUGUGCAAUGUUGGCUGGUUGCUGCAACAGUUUAGGCUACAGAUUUACCAGUUGGACCCUGAGAAAUCUUUGGAUUAUUCUGAAGAGUCCCUGAAGGUAACUGACCUGAGCAAGCCCACUGUCAUUGGUCUAAAUUAAUGUAUUUAGACACUGCUCCAAAUUAAUAUGAAUUCACUAGAAUACAUACAAUUUUAAUGAUGUAUCACAAAAUUUUGAUGACAUUAAAACCCUUCCAGGGAAGCAGCUUACUCUGCCUAAAUAUUAUUGGCCAGUUACUUCUGUUCUUGAAGAGCUGGUGUAAAAUUUUCUAUCCCCUUUGGGACAAACUAUCUCCCAUAGAGGAUGAUCUAUGAAAGUUACUCUUCCACUUUUUUUACCAGUGCAGGUUUUACUGUGUCAAGAUUUUUGUCUUCUUCAGGAAUAUCAGUUGAGACAUAAGAGAUCAGAAUGGAUUCCUGCUCUGGUUUGGCAGGUUAAAUUGAUCUCUCAAGCAAAAGGAGAUUUUUCCAAGGAGUGGAAAGCCCCAGGAGCGCUGACCUCGCCUCUGGAGCCGGGCCUGCUGGGAUGUCAUCAGCAGUAACACUCUGCUUCUCCUAAUAUCAGGACAGGAGAGCACUGAUCACAGGGUACAAGGACAGGAAGCUUUUGCUGUUAAACAUACCUUUUUGGCAUCCUGAAAGCUUUGUCAUGUCUGCAGACAGAAAGGAAAAAAGAUGUGAUCAUUUAUUAUUUUCCUGGGAAGUCCAGUGCUGGGCUGAUCCCUGAGCAGGUUAACCCUUGCAGGGCUGUAAGCACCAAGACUAAACAAUUACAGCUCUAUCAAUCACCCUUCAGAUAUGAGUUCCCUUAUGCUCAUCCCUCUCCAACUCCAUGACGAUGUGACCUUGGCUGUCCACAAUCUCCAGGGAAACCUGGGGCUUGCAAAUAAUGAUCAGUUUGGAUAAUCACCGCUGGCAGCUCAGCAGAGUUCGAGUCUCCACUUGCUGCUCUCCCAAUUAGCUGCAGUGCUGAUCAUUUUCCCCUUUGCAUACUAAAGAGAGGAUCAAGAAAGAAGCACUUUGCAUAUGAAAGAUGGGAAACACCUACUGAGUGAAUGGAGCUGUCUGAUGCCUGACUCAAACUACAACUUCUUCUAUUGCCAGAGAAAUCUCAAGGGGGAAUAAAAACAAGGAGAAAAAUGGCAGAAGUCUGUACCUUGCCUACAACCAGAGCCCUUUUUCAUCAGGAACUUUUGCUCAAUUAGAAAUUAAGUGCCACAAAAUUUCAUUCAUUAAAAAAAAGAAACUAGUUUGAUUCUCUUUACCUUUUUUCUCUUCCUCUAGCAAAGUUGUGUUUGCAUAUCAGCUGAGAAGUGUUCUCAAAUGAAAAAGAAAUAUGAAUUCUUUCUGGAUUAAAUCCAUGUGCUAUAGGUCAGCUUCCAUCUAGACUAAUAGCUUUUUCCUGGAGAGCUGUAAAUGAUUUUUUAAGAAUGUGUUUUAUAAUGGAAUUUAAAUUUCUCUUUGAACAUACCACCAGCAAAACUGCAGUGGAGCUCUUGAGAAAAAGAGGUUUUUUCGUUGUAUUUUACAAGGAGAUAAGAGUGCCCUUUCCCUGGGAUUAGGGAAGGGUUCAUUGCAUUCACUGUCACCUCGUUAUCUAGCUCCUGUCUCCCUGACAGGCAGAGACAGGCACUCCUGAGCAAUCCAUCUCCUCCUUUGGCUGCAGCAAAUCCUUGUGAACUGAACAAUUCCUGCGGAGUUCUUUUGUUUUGCUUUUUCAGUCUAGCAGCAGGAUUGUGCAUACCCUUGAGAAGACCUACAGUCUUUUUGUUAGUGAAACUCCUGAGUAUGUUAAAUCAUCAUGAAAAAUUAAUGAGACUGCAAAACUCUGCUUCCCACAUAGUCUGCCAGGAAAAGUUUCAUUUUAUAAUCCUUUCCAUUGACUCGUGCUAACAGCCUUACCUUUACCCCAGGCAGCUGUUGCUGCUGCUGUGGGUACAGGUGUGUGUGCUGGGAUAGAGCCAGACACGGAGGGCUCAAGGUUCCUACCCAACCUUCAGUGGCAGAACAGCUCUGUCUGCACUAGGAAAAUCAUGCUUGCUAAGCCUUGUUUUGAAGAAAAAAAAAAGAAAAAAAAAAAAGAGUGAAAUGGAAAGGGAAAGGAAAAGACAAUCCCCACCUCGGUGUCCCAGGCUGAAAGAGGACAGGAGGAAGGUGACGUUUUCUGAUGUCUGUGUUUCUCUGCUGGUGAGGUGAGCAUUGAUGAUGAAGAGCCUUGGCUAGGGCAGAGGGUGGGGACCACAGAGCUAGGACUGAGUGAGCAGCAUGCGUGAAGUUUGAAAUACACCUGUGUCAGGUGGCUUAACUCUGUAACUUACCUCUCACAGGCUGCAGUGUUCAUUUCAAGACCUGUCCGAACGGCAAAGGAGUGCUCAGACAAGCAAAGAAAAUGGCUCCAGUGACAGGUCAGCCCCCACUGAAUGCGCGAGGUGUAAACCAGUGCUGGACUGUGUGAGAAUUUCUGAAGACUGAGACCCACAGGCACUGCAGCCUCUGGCCGAGGACAUCAGAGCUAUUCCACGAGCAGUGAGUGCCCUGUCAGUGCCCCCGGGCGGGUGGGGCUCUUUCAGCCCGCAUAUCCUGUCCCAGACAGAAAUGGAACCCUUUGACUUUCAGAAAGGAUUUGUGUGCUGCUGACCUCGGGGUGUGCUCCGGUCAAUCAGAAUCUGAAGAGCUUAUGUCUGUUGCCCGGGUCUAACAAGUGCCAAUGUACUUGUGAAUAUGGGAUGGCUCCUUGCCGAUAAUUAUGGGCUUGUUGGUGUUUCCAGAAAAUGUUGAUGAUUGUGGAUGCUAACCUGGUUUAAGAUACCAGGUAAAGGAGCAUAUGGCACAGAGGGAUGAGGAAUGUAGGGGUUUAUGGAGGAGAUCUUUGGACUGAAACACAUGUUUGCCACAGCUGAGUGCAGUGAGGCUCUGUCUGAAACAGGCUGAGCUUCCCAACAAUAGCUCUCCCGUUGCUGCAGAAGGGAAAGCACACCAUGUUGCAGGAUCGAAACCUGCCCGGGAGGCCAAACCAGGAAGCCCCCCCGGCACGACUGGCUCUACAUGGUGUUCCUGGCCCCAGGGCAAGAACAGCCAGGGCUCCGGUUGGGCAGCGUACAUCGCCAGAGCCCGAAGCGCGGGUGGGCAGCUGGGCAGGCAGCGAGGGACUCUGUCUUCUCCACCGGCGGGAGGACAGGAGGACAGUUCCUCG